UGGAGCCUGGUUCUGGGCCAUUGUAAGGGCUCUGGUUCUUUUGGUUUUAGGCCUUUGGCGAGCUGUUCACAGAGGAGCAGAAAAGAUCUUUCCUCCAGGAGGGCCUGCUGGCCAUUCACCACCCCCUCCUCCGCGUCAGCCAGGCUGGCCUGGUGCUGACGUAUUCCAUCCUGGGGGAAGCCGGCCAGCUGCUAGAGGACGAGGAGGACAUCGCAGCCUACAUAAAGAUCCAGCUGUUUAACAUCAGGGUCUUGGGCCAGGUGCCCGACGCCCUGCAGGGGCUGUGCUCCUUGGGGCAGCACUGAAGACCCCCCCCCUCGCAUGACCAGCUCGGACCCCCUGCCGCAGCCUCGCUCCAGGCCCUCCACCCACCCGCUCCAGCCCUGCCACCUCCUUCUCCUCCUGAUCUUCCCCAACCCCUUCAAUUUUGACUGCAUGGCUUCGAUCUUUGCAUGGAUAUGGACUUUGCCUCGUAUUUCUGACCACCCGGCUUCGACCUCCGGCCUGGACAUGGACACUGGCUCCCGUUCUGCCUGCAAACACUCAACACCCGGCAGCAGUAGACAGGCCCCACCAUUAAUCAAACCCUAACCCCGCCCCAUGACCCCUUAGUCCCUCCCACCUGUCUC